UCAACCCUCAAGCUAUAUUUGUUUGGUGUUGGGGCCCUAUAAUACAAGUAUAGGCCCUGAAGACCAUGGCGGGAGUUUUAUAAACCCGAACGUAGUAAAUACUUUUCGUUUAGGGAGCUAUAGAAGUUCUUUAGCCAUAACCUCCUUCUGGAAUUUCUAAGGUUGACCUCGGAUCAGGUAGGAAUACCCGCUGAACUUAA
rnacentral:misc_RNA from 1 species